CACCACUGCCCUCCAGCCUGGGCGACAGAGCGAGACUGUCUCAAAAAAAAAAAAUAUAUAGAAAAAAGAUUUUGAAGAGCUCUGGCUUUGUAUUAACAAUUUGCCUCCUUUUCAUUAUAGUGGGAGGUAAGAAAUUAGGUAGGAACAAUGUCUAUGACAAUAAAGAACAUGAAGAAAUGUUUCCUGAACACUACAAUCUCUAUAUGCAUUGACUAGACAAUUAACAAAUGUAUAUGUACCUCUUCAAUACAUGGCUAUAUUUCACGUAGGUCUAUAAAUUUUGUAAAACAGUUUUUAAAGAUCGGUAGUUUACAUAGAGAAGGGCCUUGCAAAAAAAAAAAAAAAAAAAAAAAAACUGCCUGUGACCCCAUGCAUCUUAGGAGUGGCUCUAGUCCCAUAUUUCUAUUUUUAAAUUUUCACUCUCUCUGCCUUAUUACCUUUCCCUUAUCCCAUUGCAAUACUUUUUCUAACUGGCUGGAUGUUAUCCUUUCUUCCCCUUAUAAUCUUCCUUAAACACAUCUGCCUAAUUGCUCUGGAUGUUUUGGAGUUACUUCUAUACUUUAAACUUCCACUGACUCUCCAUUGUUCUCUGGUGAAGUACAGACCAUUCAUUCAUCCUCUGCAAUCUAACUACAAACCACCUUUCCUACUCCGUCUCUCAGUAUGUAAUGUUACCACACAGUAAGUCUGUAACGAAACUGAACCUCUGGCUGUUCUUCAACAUGUCUUUCUCCUUCUCAUCUUUACACAUUUGCUUUUAAUAUUCCUGCCCCACUUCUGUCUCUCCCAUUUCUCUCCAUUACAAUUAUACCCAAUCUUGAAGGCCUCAAAUGCCUCCAUUUUCCCAAGCCCUAAGUCAGAUGUCUCCUUCUUUUCAUCUACAUGCUUAUUUAGCUGUAUCUCUUUUGCAGUUUUUUUUUUUUUUUGCCUCUUUACAAGCUGACUUAAGUGACAUGAAGAUGAAGGGACUUGGCCAGGGUUAGGGUUCAAAUUAGUCAAAUAAUUGUUCAUAUUGGCAGAAACAUAUUUUUAUUGCUUCCAACCAUUGGCACUUAGAUGAUUAGUUUUAUUAAAGAGAAUCACAGACAUUAAAGAGAACACAGACAAGACUGUGCUCUUAGUGGAAGCUGAUAACAGAAAUAAGCUUAUGGUUUGCAAGAUGAAAAGCCCAAAUGCUACAUUGAAUAAAAACUAAGAACAAAAAAGGUCUAAAGCAAGAAGGUCUAGAAAUCUUGUUAAACGCCAUGCAUUCACAAAGACAUUUUUUCUUUUGAAAAAGAAUAGAGUCAGAGGAAAGCAAGAUUUCUAUUUAUUGCCUUUGUUGUC
rnacentral:lncRNA from 1 species